rnacentral:rRNA from 1 species
UACGUAGGGUGCAAGCGUUAAUCGGAAUUACUGGGCGUAAAGCGUGCGCAGGCGGUUGUGCAGACAGAUGUGAAAUCCCCGGGCUCAACCUGGGAAUUGCAUUUGUGACUGCACGGCUAGAGUGUGUCAGAGGGGGGGUAGAAUUCCACGUGUAGCAGUGAAAUGCGUAGAGAGUGUGGAGGAAUACCGAUGGCGAAGGCAGCCCCCUGGGAUAACACUGACGCCUCAUGCACGAAAGCGUGGGGAGCAA